rnacentral:rRNA from 1 species
ACGUAGGUGGCGAGCGUUGUCCGGAAUUAUUGGGCGUAAAGGGAGCGCAGGCGGGAUAUCAAGUCUUUCUUAAAAGUGCGGGGCUCAACCCCGUGAUGGGAAGGAAACUGGUAUUCUUGAGUGCAGGAGAGGAAAGCGGAAUUCCUAGUGUAGCGGUGAAAUGCGUAGAUAUUAGGAGGAACACCAGUGGCGAAGGCGGCUUUCUGGACUGUAACUGACGCUGAGGCUCGAAAGCCAGGGGAGCGAACGG